rnacentral:rRNA from 1 species
AAUGAACGCUGGCGGCAUGCCUAACACAUGCAAGUCGAACGAAGGCUUCGGCCUUAGUGGCGCACGGGUGCGUAACGCGUGGGAAUCUACCCUUAGGUUCGGAAUAACAGUUGGAAACGACUGCUAAUACCGGAUGAUGACGUAAGUCCAAAGAUUUAUCGCCUAGGGAUGAGCCCGCGUAGGAUUAGCUAGUUGGUGUGGUAAAGGCGCACCAA